CCUACGGGAGGCAGCAGUGGGGAAUUUUCCGCAAUGGGCGAAAGCCUGACGGAGCAAUACCGCGUGAGGGAGGAAGGCUCUUGGGUUGUAAACCUCUUUUUUCAGGGAAGAUAAUGACGGUACCUGAGGAAUAAGCAUCGGCUAACUCCGUGCCAGCAGCCGCGGUAAUACGGAGGAUGCAAGCGUUAUCCGGAAUGAUUGGGCGUAAAGCGUCCGCAGGUGGUUUUAAAAGUCUGUUGUUAAAGCGUGAGGCUUAACCUCAUAAGGGCAAUGGAAACUGUAAGACUAGAGUACGUUCGGGGCAAGGGGAAUUCCCAGUGUAGCGGUGAAAUGCGUAGAGAUUGGGAAGAACACCGGUGGCGAAAGCGCCUUGCUAGGCCGUAACUGACACUGAGGGACGAAAGCUAGGGGAGCGAAUGGGAUUAGAUACCCCAGUAGUCCUAGCCGUAAACGAUGGAUACUAGGCGUUGUCUGUAUCGACCCGGACAGUGCCGUAGCUAACGCGUUAAGUAUCCCGCCUGGGGGUACGCACGCAAGUGUGAACUCAAUGAAUUGACCGGNNGAGANGCGACGCGACGACGAGGAGAG
rnacentral:rRNA from 1 species